UACGUAGGGUGCAGGCGUUAAUCGGAAUUACUGGGCGUAAAGCGUGCGCAGGCGGUUUGCUAAGACAGGUGUGAAAUCCCCGGGCUUAACCUGGGAACUGCGCUUGUUACUGGCAAGCUAGAGUGUGGCAGAGGGGGGUGGAAUUCCGCGUGUAGCAGUGAAAUGCGUUAGAGAUGCGGAGGAACACCGAUGGCGAAGGCAGCCCCCUGGGCUGACCACUGACGCUCAGGCACGAAAGCGUGGGGAGCAAACAGG
rnacentral:rRNA from 1 species